UGGGGAAUCUUGGACAAUGGGCGCAAGCCUGAUCCAGCCAUGCCGCGUGAGUGAUGAAGGCCUUAGGGUUGUAAAACUCUUUCGCCGAGGACGAUAAUGACGGUACUCGGAGAAGAAGCUCCGGCUAACUUCGUGCCAGCAGCCGCGGUAAUACGAAGGGGGCUAGCGUUGUUCGGAUUUACUGGGCGUAAAGCGCGUGUAGGCGGGUCGUUAAGUUGGGGGUGAAAUCCCGAGGCUCAACCUCGGAACUGCCUCCAAAACUGGCGACCUGGAGCAGAUGAGAGGCGAGUGGAAUUCCGAGUGUAGAGGUGAAAUUCGUAGAUAUUAGGAAGAACACCGGUGGCGAAGGCGGCCCACUGGAUCGGUACUGACGCUGAGGUGCGAAAGCGUGGGGAGCAAACAGGAUUAGAUACCCUUGUAGUCCCUGAGCGGGCUGGCAAGGCGCAU
rnacentral:rRNA from 1 species